rnacentral:rRNA from 1 species
GACGAACGCUGGCGGCGUGCCUAAUACAUGCAAGUUGAGCGCUGAAGGUUGGUACUUGUACCAACUGGAUGAGCAGCGCACGGGUGAGUAACGCGUGGGGAAUCUGCCUUUGAGCGGGGGACAACAUUUGGAAACGAAUGCUAAUACCGCAUAAAAACUUUAAACACAAGUUUUAAGUUUGAAAGAUGCAAUUGCAUCACUCAAAGAUGAUCCCGCGUUGUAUUAGCUAGUUGGUGAGGUAGAGGCUCACCAAGGCGAUGAUACAUAGCCGACCUGAGAGGGUGAUCGGCCACAUUGGGACUGAGACACGGCCCAAACUCCUACGGGAGGCAGCAGUAGGGAAUCUUCGGCAAGAGACGAAAGUCUGACCGAGCAACGCCGCGUGAGUGAAGAAGGUUUUCGGAUCGUAAAAAUCUGUUGGUAGAGAAGAACGUUGGUGAGAGUGGAAAGCUCAUCAAGUGACGGUAACUACCCAGAAAGGGACGGCUAACUACGUG